UCCGAAUCUUCUGGGCUACACGCGCGCAACAAUGGUGCAGACAGUGGGAUGCAACUCCGAAAGGAGAAGCGAAUCCUCUAAACUGCAUCGUAGUUCAGAUUGAGGGUUGUAACUCACCCUCAUGACGUUGGAAUCCCUAGUAAUCGAACGUUAUCAGCGUUCGGUGAAUAUGUCCCUGCUCCUUGCACUCACCGCCCGUCAAACCACCCGAGUAGGGUCUAGAUGAGGCUUCAUUUUCAAUGAAGUCGAAUCUAAGCUUUGCGAGGAGGGUUAAGUCGUCACAAGGUAGCCGUAGGGGAACCUGCGGCUGGAUCACCUCCU
rnacentral:rRNA from 1 species